rnacentral:rRNA from 1 species
AUGGCGCUGCAAAACAUUGGUGCUUCAAACAAGGAUGAUGCCUUCUACAGGUACAAGAUGCCCAGAAUGUUGACCAAAAUUGAAGGCCGUGGUAAUGGCAUCAAGACCAAUAUUGUGAACAUGGUUGAUAUAGCAAAAGCACUUGCCAGGCCUGCUUCCUACACAACCAAGUACUUUGGAUGUGAGCUUGGGGCACAAUCAAAGUUUGAUGAGAAGACGGGAAUCUCCUUGGUCAAUGGAGCCCAUGACACUUUGAAGCUGGCUGGUCUGCUUGAGAACUUCAUCAAGAAGUAUGUCCAGUGUUAUGGCUGUGGCAACCCUGAGACGGAGGUCCUCAUCUCCAAGAAAGAGAUGAUAACUUUGAAAUGUGCUGCCUGUGGCUUCCUCUCGGAUGUUGACAUGAGGGACAAGCUCACUACAUUCAUCCUGAAGAACCCACCAGAGGCAAAGAAAGGUGGCAAGGACAAGAAAGCUAUGCGGAGGGCUGAGAAGGAGCGUCUGAAAGAAGGUGAAGCUGCUGAUGAGGAGAUGAAGAAACUCAAGAAGGAUGGGAAGAAGAAAGGUGCUUCAUCCAAGGAGAGUACUGCAAAAGGUGUUGCCACAAAGAAGAAGGGUGCUGGGGGCUCUGAUGAGGAACAUGUCUCAUCACCAAGAGAUGCUGACUUUGCAGCUGCUGCAGACGGUGAUGAUGACGACGACGAUGAUGUACAGUGGGCGACUGACACGUCAGCAGAGGCUGCGAGAAAGCGCAUGGAGGAACAGCUGAGUGCAGCAACUGCUGAAAUGGUUAUGCUUGCCACUGAAGAGACUGAGAAGAAGAAGAAACAGGCCCAGCACAAGGAUGAUGGCGGUGCCAAUGGCACAGCAAAGGCUGAAGAGACCUCCAACGGUAACCAGAAUGGGGCCAAAACCACCACUCCCUAUGAUGCACUGGUUGAAGAGAUCAAGGCCAGCCUAGCCAAUGCUGCCACCGCAGCUCAGCUCAAGGGGUUGCUGUCCUCCUCGCCCCUGCCCCUGAAGGAUGUGAUGGAUGCCCUCUUCGAGGCGCUCUUCCAUGGUGCUGCCAAGGGGUUUGCGAAGGAUGUGGUGAAGAACAGGAAGUACCUUGCUGCUGCUGUGCCUGAUGAAGCCGCCCAGAUGCUCCUGCUCCAGUCUAUCGAGGCGUUCUGUGGCAAGUGCAGCGCCGAGGCCCUGAAGGAGCUGCCUGUCGUCCUGAAGGCCCUCUACGACGGAGACGUCCUCGAGGAAGAGACUAUUGUGCAGUGGUACAAUGAGGCUGUUGCUGCCGGUAAGGACUCCCAGAUCGUGAAGAAUGCCAAGCCCGUCGUGGAGUGGCUCCAGAGCGCUGAGUCUGACGAGGAGUGA